CGCAAUGCCACGUCGUUGGGUUGCUACUUCUUCAGAGCUAAGGCAAGAAGAAAUUUUGUGGCGGGGAUGCUCCAAGCUUAAUUUUAAGAAUCUGAAAACUAUCAGUGUCACUUCAAUUUCUAUGGCUACUUCUUUGAUGCUAAGAUCCUCUCUUCUUUGGACUCUUCAAACCCAUCACAAGAACCACCAACGCCAACACGCUUUCUCCAAACCCUUCUCCGAUAUUUCUUUCUCUACUGUAUCAAAACCCACGUCUCAUUGCCUCAAUUCCUCUAAGAUGGAAGGUAGUGAAGUGACUGAGGAAAUUACAGAGCUUACAGAAACAAAAGUGAACGAGAAGAAGAAAAUAUUUGUUGCUGGGGCAACUGGAAGUACUGGUAAAAGGAUUGUCCACCAGCUACUAGCAAAGGGUUUCGAGGUCAAGGCUGGGGUUAGAGAUUUAGAGAAGGCCAAAACUACUUUUUCCAAAGAUAACCCUUCUCUUCAAAUGGUGAAAGCAGAUGUAACGGAGGGGCCUUCCAAAUUAGCAGAAGCAAUAGGAGAUGAUUCUGAGGCUGUAAUAUGCGCUACUGGAUUUCGGCCUGGUUGGGACUUGUUUGCUCCGUGGAAGGUCAGUUGGCUCUAGUUACUUCUUCUUGUUGCUAUAAUGGCUUUUAAUAGGUGUUUUUAAUCUCACUUUUAAUUUCAAGUCAUGAUUUUUUAAUGUGUUGUUUCAAUAGUUUUUGGGUUUGCGUUGUCAAUACUUUCUGUGAUGUAUCAAUUGAUAAGAGUUUCUAUUUGAGGAUAUUUUUUACUAUAAUUAGAACACUACGAAGGCCAUUCUGUACUCUGAUAGUGACCAGCUACUUAUGCUGCAAAAUCCAUUUGGUUAGAAGAGGAACCUGCAUAUUAAUGUUGCUGUUAUUACGGUGAUUGCGUUGCUGUUAUUAUGAGCAAGCACCAGUUCUGAAAUGGGAGAGGAGGGUAUCCUUAAGAGUUAAGAAAAGGCUUCUUUUAGAUGAAGACAACCACAGUUGCUGUGUAAUAAUCUAGAUACAUUAGAGUUCCAGCAUUUUUCAAAUUCAAUUAGUCAAAUAUGAUAGUAAUGUCAUGUGGUGAACAUAGCAGAUAGACACAAAAUGUGUACAAAUUUCUUCAUUCAUACCGUGGGGACAUGCAUUUGUUUAUCUGAUUGCAUGUAAAUCUCUUUGAGACUGAGUGCAUUUUAAACUGAUAUGUGUACACAGGAAGAAUGACUGCACACAAAAUUUUAAGGUUAGGAAAUUGGGUCUGGAAUUUGCAAUUGGUAGCUUUGAAAAUAUCAAUUGGUCCAGCACAUAAUCAAGAAAUCCAUCAUCCAAUUUGGUUGAAUGCACUUCAUUUUAUCAUGUAGCAAUGUGUAUGAUAGUUCUGGUGUUGCAGACCUGCAAUUAUCCAAUGGCAUUGGAUGAUAGCCUUAUUAAGUUGCUUUACUGCAGGUUGAUAAUUUUGGUACUGUUAACCUUGUUGAUGCUUGUCGUAAACUGGGUGUGAACAGAUUUAUUCUCAUCAGCUCCAUUUUAGUCAAUGGAGCAGCAAUGGGUCAGAUACUAAAUCCAGCUUACAUCUUUCUCAAUGUUUUUGGACUGACCUUAAUAGCAAAGCUUCAGGCAGAGCAAUAUAUCAGGAGAUCCGGUGUAAAUUACACCAUAAUUAGACCUGGUGGGUUGAGAAAUGACCCUCCAACCGGAAAUGUUAUUAUGGAGACAGAGGAUACUCUCUAUGAAGGAUCUAUCUCCAGAGAUUUGGUUGCAGAGGUUGCUGUUGAGGCAUUAAUCCAUCCCGAAUCAUCUUACACAGUCGUGGAAGUUGUUUCUCGGGCUGAUGCCCCUAAACGUACAUACAAGGAUCUUUUUGGUUCCAUUAAGCAGCAUUGACUGAUCUGUUCAUAGUUAAGAGGCAGCAUUAUUUUUUAUUUUUACUGCAGAUUCCAGAGCCUCAGUGACUUUCUGUUGGUGGCUAUUUGUUGUCAAUGAUUUACUUGUGAGCAGAUAAAUCAAUUUGUUUUGGCUCUUAGUAUGGUGUAAUAGUUUUCUUUGUUUUGAUGUGGUAUAACUGUUAAAAGACAUGUUUUAGAAGUAAUCUCAUUAUGUUAUCUUGUUCUUUUUCAAAUGAACAAAAGAAAGAACAAGCUUGAGCCAUGAUUGAUAUACAAAUAAAAACUAGUAAUUAGAG
rnacentral:misc_RNA from 1 species